rnacentral:lncRNA from 1 species
AUGUGUUUCUUGUGCAGUGUGGUGGGCUGGAUUAUUCAUGGUCUGGGCCGUAUGAUGCCGCAGCCGGCGUUGAAAGGAAGCGAUGAUUCCGGAGUGAGUAAAUCAAUGAUUAUUAAAUUAUUAUUAAUAAUAAUAAUAAUAAUAAAAUAUUUUAUGUUGCAUUCUCCAUUAUCUCCCAGUCCAACUGAUUCUCUUUUUUGUUUUCUUCAGGAGAAUGGUGGCAUUGUGGUACAAAAUGGGGGGAGAGCUCUGAGAGCCCCUUAAACAAAAGGAGAAAGAAGACUGAGGAACUGUCUGUAAAAAUCACAUGAUCUCACUUACAGAGCCACUUACAUCCCUUACGUUACAAUAGCAUUAGAAAAGACAGUAGUGCCCAUUUAUCAUUUUCAGAGAUGUUCAAGCUCGAAGGAGCAAUAAGGCAGCUUUACAUUGACUUUGAUGUUCUAAACAUGUACUCUAUUGUAUGGAGAAAAAUAUUUAUUUUUUCACGAGUUUGAUAUACUGUGAAUUGUGACAGUAGUUGUCAGAACUAUUUUAAUGAUAUAGUUUCAAAGCUUGAUUUUUAGAUUCAAAUGGGUUGUUUUCACUGCAGUGAUCAUCCUUGUAUACAUUUUAAAAUGUAAAAACUUCUAGUACUUGCACACUCUGUGCACUGCUUUAAUUGCACUACACUUUACUGUGUCUUUCCACGAUUAUACAUUUGAGAAUCUCUUAGCCAUAACAACCAAAGGAUGUGGCACAAAUCAAAAAAAUAUGUGUAUGAUAAAUGAUUAAUAUUUAGUUAUGUACAUCUUCUGACAAUUACAGGUGAGUAAUCAUACACAUUUGGACAUAAUUUGGAUUGCUGAGCGUAUUUGAAAUACACAUUGCUGAACUAGUUGUGAUUUUGUGUCCCUUUCUUUGGAAUACUGGGCUAAAUCAAUUUGGUCUAUGAGUGCAGGGACAAAUUAUAUCAACUCCCCUGCACUGUCAAAUCUGUUGCCUUCCACCUCGAAUGAGGCCUAUAUCAGAACAAGCAACAAAACUCUCUUCAAAGGCUAACUCUCCAGUUUGCACGGGCUUGGUUGUGACAAGCAUAAAUGCAAUGACUGUUACUUAGUGUCAGGCAUUAUUGUAACACAAUGUAUAAUGUAUACAAUAAACUGAUGAACUGAUUCA